GCCUUCGUGGCGUAAUGGUCAGCACACUCGGUGCGUAUUCGAGAGGUCCGAGGUUCGAGUCUCGACGAAGGCA
rnacentral:tRNA from 1 species